AACGAACGCUGGCGGCAGGCCUAACACAUGCAAGUCGGGCGAGGACUUCGGUUCUAGCGGCGGACGGGUGAGUAACGCGUGGGAAUGUGCCCUUCUCUACGGAAUAGCCCUGGGAAACUGGGAGUAAUACCGUAUACGCCCUAUUGGGGAAAGAUUUAUCGGAGAAGGAUCAGCCCGCGUUGGAUUAGGUAGUUGGUGGGGUAAUGGCCUACCAAGCCGACGAUCCAUAGCUGGUUUGAGAGGAUGAUCAGCCACACUGGGACUGAGACACGGCCCAGACUCCUACGGGAGGCAGCAGUGGGGAAUCUUAGACAAUGGGGGCAACCCUGAUCUAGCCAUGCCGCGUGAGUGAUGAAGGCCUUAGGGUUGUAAAGCUCUUUCAGCUGGGAAGAUAAUGACGGUACCAGCAGAAGAAGCCCCGGCUAACUCCGUG
rnacentral:rRNA from 1 species